rfam:Biomphalaria glabrata isolate BB02 unplaced genomic scaffold LGTN_random_Scaffold742, whole genome shotgun sequence.
GGCGCUGUGGCUGAGUGGUAAAGCGCUUGGCUUCCGAACCAGGGGUCCUGGGUUGGAAUCCUGGUGAAGACU